UACGUAGGGGGCAAGCGUUGUCCGGAUUUAUUGGGCGUAAAGAGCGUGUAGGCGGCCAUACAGGUCAGCUGUGAAAACUCGAGGCUCAACCUCGAGACGUCGGUUGAAACCGUAUGGCUAGAGUCCGGAAGAGGAGAGUGGAAUUCCCGGUGUAGCGGUGAAAUGCGCAGAUAUCGGGAAGAACACCCGUGGCGAAGGCGGCCCUCUGGGACGGUACUGACGCUGAGACGCGAAAGCGUGGGGAGCGAACAGG
rnacentral:rRNA from 1 species